ensembl:lncRNA
ACAGCCGGAAGGCGAGACGCCGCGGGAAAAGCGGUCCUGUUAGGUGGUCAAGGUGGUUUGGGGCUGAGGUCGUCUCCUCAAGAGUAACCGCGGGCCUGUGCUACGGUCACGCCACCGGCCUUCGUUUCCUUUAGCCUUCUCUCUCACCAAACGAUUUUCCUGUCCACUUAUAAAGUGCAAGUUGUUUCCCCAAGGUUCCAGCAUUUCUUCAUCGGUGGUUGUUCAGCAUUUAGUUGUGACCCUAGUUUUUCCAUCAGAAGAGUACGCGGGCCUCUCACUUCCGCGGCCUCUCCUGCUGCAGAGCACAGGCUCCAGACGCGCAGGCCCAGCGGCCGUGGCUCACGGGCCCAGCCACUCCGCGGCAUGUGGGAUCAUCCCGGACGGGGGCACGAACCUGUGUCCCCCGCAUCGGCAGGAGGACUCUCAACCACUGCGCCACCAGGGAAGCCCCAUUGCAAUUUUAAAAGCUGAGAUGGAGCAAUAGAGACCAGAUGUACCUUUCCCAGCUGAAACAACUAAAAACACAAGACAAAAUGUAUUAAAGAAUGGUUCUUGAGACACUGGACACUACACGGUGAAGAACAGUGAUCCCUGAGAGAUGAGAAACAAAUAAGAUCUUGGAAUGCUCCAGUCUUUUUGCAAAGUCGAUGAGUGGCUUCAGCACUGGGGAAGAAGCCCGAAAGGUGACCAGAUGGAACCUGCAUUCACAGUCUUCAAAGUUCCCUUUUGAAACAUAAGGAAGAGAAUGAAGGGGAGAAGGAUUUCACACUUUCGGGGUAAGGGGAGAUUUUUUUCUGUUGAUGUUUGGCUAUGAAGGUGAAACAGCAAAGCAUCUAUUUGUCUCCAAAAUCUACGUUAUAGCAGCACAAAGGUUUCCUUUCAAAGUUCAGACCGCUUUUUUAAGAUGAGAAAGGGUGUAUGUUGCGUUGUGUUGUGUGUUACAGGAAUACGGAUAUUAACAUAAACACAAGUGCCUCACACACAGUUCCUUUUUUGCUCUCUGUACGUACAUUGCUAUCUGCUUCUUUGUUGGCUGCGCUCUGGAUCACUCGCUGCUCAGACUGCCUAACACAAGGACAAAAGUUUGAAGUAAAAAGUGUGUCUUUUGGUAUAUGGAAUUGUCUUUAACAGCUGCCUCUCUGCUUGCAGAAGAAGCACAUAACAACCUGGGAAUCUUCUGUUUUACUCUUUCUUUUAUUAAACUAAGUCUUGUUUAUUUAAAUCAGAAACAAAUUCUCAAGUAACAAGAACCCUUUCCCUUUUUUCUGCCUCAGCAGUGAAAGGGUGUGUCUUUGGAUUUUAUUUAAAGCAUGAAAUUUCUUUUUCUGAGAGAGGAAAGAAAACAAAACAAAAACACAGAAACCAAACCCCUAACCAAAAACUUUUUUAGAAAAGAAAAGCACACAGCCCAAUUACACAAACUGAAACAAAUGCUUUAGUUUAGGAAAAGAAUAUUUGAAGCAUCUACCAAACAAGGAGGGGACAAAAAGGGUGAAAAGAAAAACCAAAGGAAGGAUAAAUAAAAAAUAAAUGUACAAGGCUAACAGACAUAGGUAACUAGAAUUAUAUGCCUUUAAAAAGUUUCAACUCCCCAACCAAAAAUAAUCUGUGAGGAUCCUAAUGACCCCUAGAACCCUUUGAAAUUCUUUCUUUAGUUUUAUAAAAUAAUUCUGCAGCUACCCUCUAAGAAACGAAGGCAGCUACCUUAAGUGGGAGAUUAUAGGGUGGGAGGAGGAAAGAGAAAGUGGAAUUAAGGGACAAAGGGGAGAAAAGCUUAGGUGAAUCAACGGAUUGCAAUCUAUCUGCUAGGAAUGAACAAGACAACAUCAAGUGAGGAGCUGUCAGCUGGACCAUACAAAAAGCUAAAUGUACACAAAAGGGUUUUUUUUUUUUCCUUUUAAAUCUACCAUACUGCUUCAGUUCAUUUCCAAUGCAACAAUCUACUCAACACCAAAAAUGGUCAUAUCUAUCAUAAAUACAGAAAGUCAGUUUUUAAAACUUAUUUUUUUAAGCUACAAGUCCUCAACACUCUGUGUGUGGGUUGUUUUUUUGUUUUUUUUUCUGAAAGUGGGAGUGCUUAACUUUUCCCCUUGAAAUUGGCUUCAGCAGAAAAGCUAUUCUUAAAAUCCCCAGAAAGCUAAAGCAGUUCACAUUGUUUUUCUCAAAUACUUUCUGCCCGUUUUUAAAUUAACAAAACAAAUAAUCUUUUCUGGAACG